GACGAACGCUGGCGGCGUGCUUAACACAUGCAAGUCGAACGGUAAGGCCCUUCGGGGUACACGAGUGGCGAACGGGUGAGUAACACGUGGGUGAUCUGCCCUGCACUUUGGGAUAAGCCUGGGAAACUGGGUCUAAUACCGAAUACACCCUGCUGGUCGCAUGGCCUGGUGGGGGAAAGCUUUUGCGGUGUGGGAUGGGCCCGCGGCCUAUCAGCUUGUUGGUGGGGUGAUGGCCUACCAAGGCGACGACGGGUAGCCGGCCUGAGAGGGUGACCGGCCACACUGGGACUGAGAUACGGCCCAGACUCCUACGGGAGGCAGCAGUGGGGAAUAUUGCACAAUGGGCGCAAGCCUGAUGCAGCGACGCCGCGUGAGGGAUGACGGCCUUCGGGUUGUAAACCUCUUUCUAUAGGGACGAAGCGCAAGUGACGGUACCUAUAGAAGAAGGACCGGCCAACUACGUGCCAGCAGCUGCGGUAA
rnacentral:rRNA from 1 species